AGACGGGGAGAGAGAGAGAGAGAGGGGGGAGGGGUAGGGGUGCACAGAGAGACGGCGAGGUAGGGAGGGAGGAUGAGGUAGGGUUGCUUUCGGAAUUUUUGUUCCAGCUGGAAGUCAUUUCCACAAUCAUUUAUGAGGGAUGGAUUGCAGAGAGAGAAAGAGAGGGAUGAGUCAGAAUCUUGAACAGGGGCAUGUAAGGCGCAUUCGUGCAAGAUUUCAUCAUCCUUUCUUCAGCUCUUCUCUUCUCUCCCGACUUUCUCUCCUCACGACUCACUUCGUCUCUCCUGACUCUCUCUUCGCGACUCGCAAUGGCUUGUCCAAUGAAUAUCCGAUCAAAUCUGGGGAAACUAGGGGCGAUGUAGCUCCAAAUCAUCACCAAUCGAAGGAUGUGGCCUCCAAAUCACCACCAAUCGAAGGUCAAUUGAGAAUCGUAUAAAAUUUUGAUCCGAUUAAGUUUUUUGAUUGUGGUGAUCGAAACUGGGAAUCGGAAAGAAACCCCACACCCCAACAGUUUUCUGUACAGGUUUAGUUAAAGAUGGGUAAAUCAAGAGUUGUUGCUCCCAUAAAAGCUGUUUCGAAGGCAUAUGUGAUCACUUCUAUUCUGUAACAAUAAUGGAAGCGGAAGCAAGAGCUGAAUUUGUCUGCCAAGUGCAAUCGCCCGCAAAAGCAAGUUCAAGCUAUAUACUUUGAUUAGGAAGAGAUUGGUGGGUUGAGCCUUUGCCUGCAGGGAGUGCUAAUAUACUGAAUUUUUGGGAUUUUUGAUCUUUGCAUGAUUUUUGGUCUUUGAAAGGGUUGUCGUCUUCAUCUUCGUUAUUUUUUCAAUGGAAAAGCUGGACGAUCCAUGGAGCACAUGUUGUUGAGCCUUUUGCCACUGCUGGUCUGGUCCAAUUCGAAGGAGUCGGUGGAGGCCCUUUGGAGGAGCUGAAAAAUCAGUCUCCAGCUCCAUAACAAAUCGGACAUCGGCCCGGCAGCUUUUGGUGUGCCUGUGAAUGUUGAUUCGGCAAUGCGUUUACAAUAACGUCAAGAGGGAAGAGAUUCAAAAGAUGUUCCCAGUGUAGCUGUUUCAGAGUUGAAGAGGCUGUUGAUGCUUUUGCUGCAGAAGUUUCAGCGAGAAUGACGGCGAGAUGCACUCAAGGAUCAGUGUAAGCAUAUACCAAAACAACAAGGCUAUGCAGAAAAGGUACACCCUUUUGUUUCGUUCGACUUGAGGAUUUGCACAGGAUUUUGAGUUCAGGGUUUCGUAUUGCAUUAUUAAUUUUGCACUCAGUGUCAAGUUUUGAGAUCAACGGAUCAGCUCACUGCUGUGGUCGAUGUUGGGGAAGGUGAUGCGAUGUUAGAAGUUGGGCUGGGAACAGGUUCUUUGACCAAUGUUCUUAUUAAUGCUGGUGCAUUUGUGCUCGCAAUCAAAAAGGAUCCAUACAUGGCUACUCAUGUGAGUGAGAGAUUUGCGGAGACUGACCGGCUCAAGGUUUUGAAAGAGGACUUUGUCAAAUGUCGCAUUCACUCACGUGUUGUCGUUGUUGGCAUGUACAGAGCCAUCGGUGUUGGAUUAAACUGUACCUUCCACAACACAAGAAAAAAAGAAAGAUUGAUCCAUGGCGACUGCAAUUUGUGGGAGAAUCCCUCUCUCCCCCAACCAUGUCUUCAACACCAAACCAGAUUCUCUCCAUUUUUCUCAAUUCUUUCCAUUUUUCUCAAUUCUAUCCCUCUUUGCAGAUUUUGGGUUUCCCUAAAAAAUCUUUGAUUUCUUCAUCAAUUGUAAGAUUAGGAGCAGAUUUUCUUAGCUCCUUUAAUUCAAAGCUUGGAUAUUUUUUAAAUUUUAGGAAUUUUAUUAUCUUUUUAUCGAACUUUAUGAAAUUUAAUGUAUAAUUGGCCUAGAAAAUUGAUUCUCUCUAAUGGGUUUUUUUUUAUUUUUUAUUUUUUAUUUUUUUGUAAAAUGGAAGUGAUCCGUACUUAUUUUACAGAACAUGAACUGCCAAGGGUCAACACUUGAGAAGGUGAUUUGGGUGGCGGUCGUAAAGAUGGGCAUUUUGGUUGUCAAAAUGAUGUUGUUUAUGUUGUUUUGACAGGUUCGAUCAUGUAUAUAAGCAUUUGAUAGUGAAUACAUGCAGAAUGCUUCACAAUUGAAAAGAAGUAGAAUGGUAUAUUCAGCUACCAGUGCCUAAACCUCCAACAAAAUGGAAACUUUUGCCAAAACAAAAGGUCUCACAAGGAGAAGCGUUCCUCAUAUUCCCCUACUGAGAAAUGUGUUCGGUGUGGUGGAUGCUACAACAAAAUAGAAAAAUGUUGGCUUAAGCUUGGAGUCCAGAGCCAAUGGUUAUUUGAAGUAUGCUAUUGCUGGGGCUUUUGUAAUUGUAAGAAGACACCCUUUUCUUUUUGACUUAGUAGUCUCUCCUUCUUGUGACUGACGAUGAUGGGUAGUACGGAGAUGCAAUUUUGGGCCAACAUCGACGGAGCCUUUGAGGAGUGUAGAUUGAUCUUCGAAGUUGUGGUGAACGGAGAGGUUAUUGGAGACAAAUAUCAACUGCGGCGGAAAGAGUUUGCCCUUGUGGUUGUUGUUGAAGGAAAGCUUCAGCUUGGUGAGGCUGUCGAGCAGCUUGCAAGAGACCUUGUGGAAGAAGAUGGAGGAGUCACUGUCGAACUCGGAAAUGGGUUGAACCAAAUGCCUCUUGGGGAAGCUGAAUACGAGGUGAGUCCUCAAAGACGUAGCUGGCGGAUACGGCGGCGGUGUUCGUAAAUGUCUUCAUUGGUGUUGUUGAAGUGUUUAGUGAUCGACGACGUCACAGCGGGCUAUUGUCAAAGUCCAGGUGAGAAGGCAGUCAUCCGGUUCCAGUUUGUUGUGAAAAGUGAGAGAGCUUCGGAGCCAUCACUAGGCACAAUGGUUUGGCACUGUUCCUUUAUGCAAGUCGUACUUCCAAACUUCUUUAGGCACCCAUUCCUUCAUUGACGCGACUUCCUUGGGUUUCUUCUGGUUUUAUGCAACAUGGCAUCACUAAAACCCCAUCUCCUUCAAGCCAUACCCUCCAUUGACCUUAGAGUUCUUCUGGUUUUAUGCAACACGGCAUUACCAAACCCAUCUCCGUCAAGCCGUAUCCUUCAUUGAUGCGACUUCCUUCGGGUUCUUCUGGUUUUAUGCAACACGACAUUACCAAACCCAUCUCCUUCAAGCCGUAUCCUCCAUUGACCUUCGGAUUCUUCUGGUUUUAUGCAACACAGCAUCACCAAACCCAUUUCCUUCAAGUCGUAUCCUCCAUUGACGUGACUUCAUUCGGGUUCUUCUGGUUUUAUGCAACACGGCAUUACCAAACCCAUCUCCUUCAAGUUGUAUCCUCCAUUGACGCGACUUCCUUCGGGUUCUUCUGGUUUUAUGCAACACGACAUUACCAAACCCAUCUUCUUCAAGCCACGUCCUGCGACUUCCUUCGGGUUUUUCUGGUUUUAUGCAACACGACAUCACCAAACCCAUCUCCUUUAAGCCACGUCCUGCGACUUCCUUCGGGUUCUUCUGGUUUUAUGUAACACGGCAUCACCAAACCCAUCUCUUUCAAGCCACAUAAUGUACGGACUUCAUCUGGAAAAUUACUGGAGAUGAUGGUUGAAGAAAUGGCGCGACUGCUGUGGAGCCAAAAAUAUUGACAAGGUGACAUGUGGAUUU